rnacentral:rRNA from 1 species
CGCAGCAGGCGCGAAAACUUUACAAUGCGGGCAACCGUGAUAAGGGAACCUCGAGUGCCUGUAUACGCAGGCUGUCCAGGUGCCUAAAACACACCUGAAGAAAGGGCCGGGCAAGACCGGUGCCAGCCGCCGCGGUAAUACCGGCGGCUCGAGUGGUGGCCGCUUUUAUUGGGCUUAAAGCGUUCGUAGCUGGUUUGUUAAGUCUCUUGGGAAAUCUGGCGGCUUAACCGUCAGGCGUCUAAGGGAUACUGGCAAUCUUGGAACCGGGAGAGGUGAGGGGUACUUCGGGGGUAGGAGUGAAAUCCUGUAAUCCUCGAGGGACCACCUGUGGCGAAGGCGCCUCACCAGAACGGCUUCGACAGUGAGGGACGAAAGCUGGGGGAGCAAACCGGAUUAGAUACCCGGGUAGUCCCAGCCGUAAACGAUGUGCGUUAGGUGUAUCGACGACCACGAGUCGUCGAGGUGCCGAAGGGAAACCGUGAAACGUACCGCCUGGGAAGUACGGUCGCAAGGCUGAAACUUAAAGGAAUUGGCGGGGGAGCACCACAACAGGUGGAGCCUGCGGUUUAAUUGGACUCAACGCCGGAAAUCUCACCGGAUAGG